GUCUACGGCCAUACCACCCUGAAUGUGCCCUAUCUCGUCUGAUCUCGGAAGCUAAGUAGGGUCGGGCCUGGUUAGUACUUGGAUGGGAGUUAUAGACAACAUUUAGAAAAAAACAAGAGACAGUAUGAU
rnacentral:rRNA from 1 species